CAAGUGAAACGUUAUUGAAGUUAUCCGAAGCGCGAACAUAAUUGACGAACGUAAUUUUAGACUAUCCACAGAUGAUCUCGUGUCUUGGAAUAGAACGAAGUACUUACAUCUACUACUACGCGUUUUCACCAUGGCAAAAUCAGACUUUUAAAUCGUCGACCACGUAACCUCGAAGGACACUCGUAACGGCGAUAAACGAAAGGAAAAGCAAUAUUCUAAUCGAGUUAAGCUUGUAUCCAACGUGAGUUUUCGUGACUUUUCCUCUCCCGCUAAAUGUUACAAUACUUCUCAAUUUCGGAAGAGUUCGAUUAAUCGGGAAGUAAAAAAGGAGAAAAGAAAAAUAAAAGGAAAAAGUAAAUAAAUAAAUAAAAAUAAAUU